CAGAUGAACUUCAAAAUAUACAAGGCAGAGAAGUGGAUCGUAUAGAGAGACAAAUGAGGGCUGAAUUUGAAGCAAAAUACCACAUAAGACUAAGACAUGUAGAUUUGGAGCCCCUUUGAUUAAAGAAACUGGGAUAUAGAAAAGUAUCCACAUGUUACAACAUCUAGUCAGUGAAGAAAAAAGUGAAGAUUGCAUGACAUCAAUUCCAAUGGUUUACCAGAUUCCAAAUGAAACUUAACCAGGAUAUGUACCAAGGAUCCCAAAUUCCCUCAAGACAGUGCCAUUUAUGAGAUAUUCCAGUUUUGUGAUCCUUUUUGUACUAUGCAUCUCCUCAUUUAGACCUUUUUAUUUUGCUAUGUUUUUGUUGGAUUGGUACUAUUUACAUUGGACAGGACUUAAGAUGUCAGGAGAGUUUUGACAGCAAAUUCUUUUUAUGCAGAUGUACAAGAGUUUUUUUUAGCUCACCUGAGCUGAAGGCUUAAGUUAGCUUUUCUGAUCAAGAUUUGUCUGUUGUCUGUCAUUGUCAGUUUUCAGUUUUUCUUCUUCUUCUCCAGAACCACAGGGCCAAUUUCAAUUAGACUUGCCACAAAGCAUCACUGGGUGAUGGGAAGUCAAGUUUGUUCAAAUGAAGGACCAUGUCCUCUUUAUAGGAGAGAUAAUUUAGAAUAAAAAUUUGUUGCUAUUCUUCAAAAAUCUUUUUCUCAAAAACAAUGUGGCCGGGAAAGCUGGAACUUGUGUGAAAACAUCCUCAGGUAGUGUAGAUUCAAGUUUGUUCAAAUCAUGGACCUCGGGAAUAGGGUGGGGUCACAUGGGGGAUCAACUUUAAAUAAGAAUACAUAGAGAAAAUCACUAAAAAUCUUCUAAAAAAACCAUUAGGCCAGAAAUGCUGUAACUUGUGUGGAAGCAUCCUCAUGUAGUGUAUUUAAUUUUGUUCAAAUCAUGAUCCCCGUGGAUAGGGUGGGGCCACAAUGGAUGGAUAAGAAUACAUACAGAAAAUCUUUGAAAAUCUUCUUCUCAAAAGCCAUUUGUCCAGAAAAGCUCAAACUUAUAUGGAGGCAUCCUCGGAUAGUGUAGAUGCAGGUUUGUACAAAUCAUGAUCCCCAGGGGUAGGGUGGGACCACAAUUUUGGAGGGUGUUAAAUUUUUACAUAGGAGGAUUUAGAGAAAAAUCUUCCAGAAAAGCAUGUAGCCAAAAAAGCUAAAUCUUAGGUAGAAGCACAGGUUGUGAAGAUUAAAAUUUGAUCAAACCAUGAUUCCCUGGAGAAAAGUGGGGCCACAAGGGGAGAUUUUUCAUAUAAGAAUUGAGAAAUAUUCUCAUGAAUACUGAAGCAACAUAAGGGGGAUUGGUAUUUACCAUAAAUAUAAACAUAUGUUGAUAAAAAUCGCAGAUUUUGUAACUUUUUGUGUACUUGGUUGUCAAGAUAUUUUAAUUUUGAAACUGUAAUGCUGAUUUGAUUAGCAUUGUUGCUCGUAUGAGCGAUGUGGCCCCUGUGCCUCUUGUUAAUUUAUAGCUCCAAGUAUUUGGUUCGUGACACAUUAACAUGUACAUUAUGUUUUUACUGACAUGCAGAGUGGCAGAUUCAUUGCAUUAAAU
rnacentral:misc_RNA from 1 species